AUGUGCAUUCUCACAUGGACAUCUUAUAAACGUCAUCAUUUCCCCAUUGUGAGCAUCAAAAGAGCCCUGACUGCACAGCAUGUGAGACAAUGAAGAUCACAUGGAACCUUCACUUUGGAUGUCAUCUUCUGGCUUCCAGCGCAGACUCUUCAGUCUCCAGCGCAGAUCCUCUGGCCUCCUGAUACAAACUUGCAUGGACACUACUGUGAGCCCCAGGUCUUCAACUGGAUCCUUCAAAUCUCCAAGGCACAGACAGACAUUUUGCAUCUUCCACACCUGACUCUGGGUGGCCACUGCUCUCCUAAUUGAUGCCCAGUGGACCUGAGAUGGGAUAAAAACCACUUGAACUGCUGGUUGCUGUAAAGGAACAACCUUUGGAGGCCUGGCCCAGCAGCACAUUCCUUUGGCACUGUACUCACUCAAUGUUUUCUUUUUUUGGACAUAUUCUUAGCUAGACCUAUUGCAUUCAUUACUCUGUUUUAUUUUUUCUCUCUGUUCACUUAAUUAAUUGACUUUCAGUGUUGGUUUUACAUUGUCAGGGUUUUAUUUGGAAUUAAUUAAUUUUGUGGUACUGAAAAUUGAACCUAGGGCCUUUGCACUAGCUACAUCUCUAGUCCCCCUUUCUCC
rnacentral:lncRNA from 1 species